CAAGAAAGUCAUAGUGGCUAUGGGGCUGGCUUGAAACCAGUUUUAGGAGGUUCGAUUCCUUCCUUUCUUG
rnacentral:tRNA from 1 species